rnacentral:rRNA from 1 species
UCGAUUUCUAGUUAGGGAGGGAAGAUGGAUCAGGAGAUCGGGAGUCAAGGUUGUCGCAUCACUCAUACUUGCACGCCUUCCUCUGUCCUGUUUCAUGGACCCACCUUUUCUAGUUUUCUCAACCACCUGUGCACCCUUUGUAGGCCCUCGAAAGAGGAUCUACGUUCAUCUAUCUACGCUUUUAUGCUACGCAUGUCUAGAACGUAUACAAACUUUACAACUUUCAGCAAUGGAUCUCUUGGCUCUCGCAUCGAUGAAGAACGCAGCGAAUCGCGAUAAGUAAUGUGAAUUGCAGAUUUUCAGUGAAUCAUCGAAUCUUUGAACGCACCUUGCGCUCCUUGGUAUUCCGAGGAGCAUGCCUGUUUGAGUGUCAUCGAAUUCUCAACCAUGUCUUGAGCUUGAUCUCGAGGCCAUGGCUUGGACUUUGGGAGUUGCUGGCUGUGUUCAGCUCUCCUUAAAUGCAUUAGCGACGGUCAGCAAGCCUGACGUGCACGGCCCUUUUCGACGUGAUAACUCGUUAGAUCGUCGUGGGCUGGAGCGUAGGGCGAGCGGUGAAUCGCUUCCAAUCCCUUAGACUUUCGGUCCUUCAAGAGACUCGAGUGGUAAGCCUCAGUUACUAGUCACCGACGAACGCGAGGCCCAAGCUUGAAACUCGGAAGAAUCAUGGUCUUCGAUCUUGAUCUUGAUCUUGAUGUUGGACCUUUGAGAGACCUAAGCCUUAGUUACUAGUCGAUCGUGAGGUCGACGAACACAGGGUAUAGGUUUGAAACUUCGAAGCGAUCGUCUUGAUCUUGAACUUUGAACUC